AUGGUCAAACUUUUUUUUUCUAGUCGCCAAAAACCAUUCUCACAGGUGUUUCCUUUAAAAAAUGUAGUAAGGCAAGAAUUUGCAAUUUAUACAUUUCACUAAAUUGUAUCAACUCGACAGAGUGAAAAUUACUAUUUGAUUACAUAACAGCCAAAAUAAUUGGUUUAUGUAAAAAAUGCAUGAAAUCUUUUUUGUAGAGCUUUUUAAUAGCUUCAUUUUUUGUUUGAAACUGUUUUCUCUGAAAUCAAUAUUUCUCGAGAUAUACAGAAGAAAGUUUCCAAACUUUGUGGAGAUGUAGAAGGGAAACGAGGCCUUGUCGCGAAAAAUCGUAUCAAGGAUAAAUGUUGGUUAAAAUUUCACCGAUAUCGGAGGGUUGCGUCUUUCGGUACUUAAUCCCGAGUGGGGCUAAUUAGGAAAACGAAUGAAUAAACACCGAGUAAUAUCACGUUCCUCUUUAUAUGUUUCAACGAAACGAAAACGCAGAGGACGUUGGUUCAAAUUAAUGUCCUUUGUGUAAAAAUAGUACCUAACCCAUUCAUUCAUAUUCUCUCGUGGAACGGUAUCAAUUAUCGCAAUUGUGUAAAUUUUGUUCGGAUUAGGUUCGCAUUAAUAAUUAAAUUUCUCCCAGCAUAAAAGUAGUAAUCGAAUUAAAACAUCGUUGCAAAAGCAUCUUUGUUAUACCUGACAGGUUGUGAUAAAGCCAAAUUACGUGUAUAGAGGAUAAGUCAGGAUAGUAAACUAUAUUUGGAUUUUAUUUGGUUGAAUGAUGACACUCCCGAUGAGAGAAGAAAUGUAUCUCGCCCGUUACAUUAUAAAUAGCUAUUUUCCUAAGCAUGCUAUCACCUAAUAUGGAUGACGGUAUUCUAUUUACUGUAAAUUUGCACCGGACCAUGGGAUAAAUCAUCUAGUUACGCUCCCCAUGGAUGUCAUUGAAAGAGCAUAUCGCAUUAUACAAGAGCAACGUGCAAUUUUGUCCGAUUCUGAUUCUACGAGUGAAAGGUGUAACUG